GGACCCUCAGUUGUCAUUUGUUAGUUUCUCCCAUACUUGUUCCUGUGCUGCUCUUUUAUAUCAGCAGAGAAGCAAUGAAGGACAAAGAGGAGAGGGGAAACUCAGGCAGCAGAAUACCUUGGGCCAUCUCUGGCCGGAGGCUGGUCUACUUCCCACCUGUACACCUGAACCUUUUCCCAAGUGCAACAGCACCCCGCUUUUCCCAUGCCCAAAGAAACUAGGAGAAAGCCAGGCAUGCCACACACAACAUCCCCCAUUACGGUCACCAAUAAUAAUUAUUUUUUAAAGUUCUGCAGAUGGUCUCCCUUUGCCUAGUCCCAGCACACCAAUGAGAUCACUCCAACAGCACUGAGCAACGACGGUCCCUUUUCACCCAGACCUAUGAGAUCAUCGCCAUCUCUUUGCUGCGUAAAAUGAUCACAAUGGAGCUUUUCAUGAAGCACGAAGCAGAGAGGGAGAGGAGGUCAUCGAAAGCACCAAGAGGCUGGGAUUCUUUUUUAAGGUCAGGGACCUUCUAAGGCUCGAGUUUCAUGGCAAAUGUGUUGGUGACAGAGUCCACACACACACACACACACACACACACACACACACCACAUGCCAUCAUUGUCAUGAGGCAGCUUGCUUUUCUUUUCCAGUGUAUUGAGGCCUGCUAAUUGACAGUUGGCCCAAGAGCUUUUCUCAUUAUUCCAUGGCUAGGCCUUGCAAAACUCUGAUCUUACCCGCUGAAUCGGAUCUUACCAGAAAUGCGGAGAAUCUGAAGAGAGGUUUUGCUUCACCAAGCUUCAAUUCAGCAGGAUCACACAUAUCAACCAGUAAGUGUUUCUCUGCUGUAGAAUAGGAGAGUCUGCAAACAACUGAUAAGUUUGAUGGCCUCAGCUGCUGCUUUUGAAAAAGAAAAAGAAACCAUUUCAAAAUAAUCUGGCUUCAAAUUCAGAUCAUGCUAUAGGAAGAGCUGAACCAUUGCCUAGAGUGGGACUGGAUGAGGAUCACUAAACUGGUCUCUUCAUCAGAGGCCCUUCUGUCGUUCCCACAGAUGUGAGGUGGAUUGUGACGCAAGACAGGAACCCAGACGCAUCCCAUAAUGUAUUGCAAUGUAUUAAAAGGCACAACCUGGAACCCUGGCAAACUUGGAAUUGCCAAUUCAUAUUACACUGAUGUUUGGGGAAAUGUACAAAAUUUCACGAGAGCCUAGAGAGGGCAGUGCAGAAAACAGAUAUAUUAUAAUAUUAUCUUCUAUUGCCAAGCAAGAAAGACGCAGAUACAAUCAGAUACAAAUGUGUUGCAAUAUAGUCCAUUUAUAAAUUGUUUCCCAUAGAAUAUCUCAAUGCAAUUUCACAGUAAAAAUAAUUCCAUAUUUUAAAAACUAUUUCAAAUCCAAUACAGUUAUCCUGUUCAUGCAAGGACUUCCACUCCCUCUCCUCUCCCCAUGUACCCUUCUGCCCCCCAAAUCUACUCUGAAGGGUUGAAGGAGCCCCAGGGCAGAUUUGAGAAUGUGAAGGGCAGGAGGGGAAGUUGCAUUGUGCAAGCAGAAGUCAUUGCCCUACAGGGAUAGAACACGCAAACAGCGAUGAAAAUAUAUAUGCAUCUGUGCAUGCAUGCAUUGUGUGUGUGUGUAGAUUACUAGAUUGUGAAACAAGACUCUUGGCUGAUAAUCAUAGCUAAACUAAAAUUGUUCAAAUAAUCCACUUCCCUUCCCUUGAACAAUUGAACUGAGCAAAGGGACAGGAAAUAAGGAAAGGUCAGAUUUGCAUGCUUUGUUUGUUUCCUUAGAUUUUCCAUAGUUGUGGAACUGAAUGUCCAGCAUUUGAAGAUCAAGUUCACCCUUUAGGCUUGCAGUUGCAACCCUCUUCAGAAUAAGAACUCAAAUGGGGCCUUUGUAAAGAAAUAGAUAUACACAAAACCAUGAUGUCUUCUCCCUGCUCUUGAGUGAUGUCAAAUGACCUCUCUACCCUCCAGCCUAAGCUGCUUUUCCAGACAGUGGAUCAAUCACUGUAUUCCUAGGAGUGGUGUAAAAUUCACCUUUUAGCAGACAGAGUUUGGCCCAUCUCACUAGGGACCCGAGCCGUGGACACUCAGAGCAUCAUUACAUCAACCUAAGAGGAGAGCCGAUUCCAUCUGCAGUGUAAAGAGACACCAAACUAUUCAUUUCUCCUCUCUUUCUCUCUCUGUGUCAGUUUAAAAUCCUUUAAUUCAUUGUAAUAGUACUUUGCAAACCAUAAACAACUUAAGAAGGAAUACUCUUCCUAAAAACAACUUGGCCUCCUCAAAACAAGUCUCAUGGAAGACUGACUUAAGAGUAAGUAGGCUAGUCAAAGUGAUUUGUCAAUCUCGGCUUUAAUGUGCAAAACAUUUUCUAAUCCUCCUGUCAUUCAGCCUCCCAAUAGUCUGUCAUUCCCAUUUUCUCUCAUGGGAUGCUGAACUCUGAGGGCCAAAUGAGAUGUGGCAACAGAAUGUAUGAAUCUCUCUCAGCUCUCUCUAAACUUUUGGAAGUAGCAGCCACUGUGUGUGUAUGUAGAGAGGAGGAUUGAAGUCAGGGCUGCAGCAUAGGGGAAGGGUAUUGGUUUGUUUUUUUUACCAGACAGCAUCCUGGAACCCACAUAGGUAGGGCAUAUGUCACCCAGUUCACUGCUCUUAAGUUGAAGUGCUAGGAACGUGAUGAAAUCUGUCUCACACUGAAUACAAUGGGGCUAUGAGGAGGGGGCUUCACCUUUCGCUGGGUUGGACCCAUUAUUUAUUUUAAAGGUGUGCAUCCUGCCUUUCCUUCACUUGAUCUCUUAGUUGGCUUGCAUAAUUAUAAGCCUGUAUAAGCAAAACAAGCUGAAAAACAGGAACAGACACACAAUUAUUGUGAGAAUCACUGUACAAAAUGGCAGAUCAAUCAAAUGCAUUCUGUAAUUACCAUCAAUCCAUGGGAGGGGUAAUUAAAAAAAAAAACCACAGGCACUUAAGGGAUAGAGGGGGGUGGGUGGGACAGGACUGAGACAGGUAUGUUUGCUUAGGGAGUUUUCAUUUAUUUGUGCAUUUAUUAAUGCAUUUAUUUAUCAAUUUUAUAUUCUGCCCUUCCUCCCAAUGGAGCCCAGAGCAGCAAACAAGUGAUAACAACAUCAUUAAAGUCACCCAGCACCCACCUUGUCGUCUUUCCUGUCCUGAACAAAAGCUGUGUGUUUUGUUUUGUUUAAUUGCCCCCAGCUUUUUAAUGCAUUUACAUUUAAACCCUUCCUUACUUGGGUGUUUGUACCACCAGUGCUUUCUUUCCUGGGAGGACACAGGGGUACACAUACCCCUAAACAUUUAGUGAAUUUAAGUUUGGCCCCCUUGAGGGGCAGUAUUUCAAUAUGAGUGGGAAAAUGAAAGUACCCCUAAACAUUUUUUUAGAAAAAAAGCACUGUGUACCACUGAGCUCACUGCCAGUUGCUACUUAGUAUGCCUAGGGCUGCGAUGCACAGCUGUGAUCAAAAUCUAUAAUCCUUUCCAGGUUUUGUAUUCUGCAUUAUGCUUUCAUAUCAUUAGAGUGUUUUCUUUUUGUUUACUACACAAACGUAUUUUGUUUGAAGCUGUUUCCUUGAUGGAGAUAACAAGGUGCUCUGGGAAUACCUAUCAAUCCAGCAGGGAAGGUGUGGCAUAACAGUCACGGAAACACAUAAAACAAAUGAAGGCUCAAAGGGGCCACAACCGAAAAGUCCCUGUCACUGGUGGCCAGCCACCCAGCCUCUGAAGAGGGGUGGGAACUAGAGAAGGGCCUCAGCGGAUGAUCACAGUAAAUGCACAUGCUUGUGCCUCCACAUUUGCUCAAGUAAGAGAUCAUCAUGGCCAGUGUACUGUCCUCUGAAUCAUUUGCAAGCAGACUCUUUAAUGGAUGUAUUUACCUAUGCCCCAGAAGAGAGGCAACUGGACACUUGGGAAAUCAAAACUAUAUUAUGUUGCUACAUUUUUUAUCCUGUUCCUCUUGGUCAGGGUGACCUGCAUGGCUUUCCCCUCCCUCUUCCAUCCUCUCAACUAGGGAUUGGGCAGAAAUUUGAUUCAGUUUGCAUCUGAAGGGGAUCUUACCAAAUUCACACUUUCUGAAAAAAUGUAUGAAGUGAAACAUAGCCAUCCUUCAAAAUCCACCCUCUCCCAGAUUUUAUAGUGCGUUUUCCCCAGUCAAGCAGUGUGUACAGAAAGGGUAAAGUAAAUACACAUGCUAGUGAAAGCAGUGAAAUGACUUUAGAUGAGGGGAAUAUUUAUGGGGGGUUCCUUUUGAGGGGAUUCCCUGCCCCCCAGCCCUAACUUGAGCUUCCAGGAGUUGAAUCUGAGAUUUUAUGCGUGCAGGGCAGAUGGGCCAUCACUCUGCUAUGGCUGUUCCCAUAGAAUAUCUUUAUAUGGUGAACUUUGUUUAGAGUUUUUAAUCUUCCGAACCUCUUUCCUUUUCAUAUUGUUUUUCUCAAUAUUAUUGUUCUGUUAGAAUGUAUUUUUAAUGAACAUUUUAAUUUCUGUAAGCUACUCCGAGUAACUGAGUUUAUUAAAUAAAUAGGACAGGAUUG